ensembl:lncRNA
GUUAACUUCACUAUAUAGUUUUAAAUAUGUAAUUCAAGCACACUUAAUUUGGUUUAUUUCAAAAUCCUUAUUUGUAUUUUAGACGUCCUUCUGUAAAAAAAAGUUUUCUUCAGUCUUCCAGUUGGGGCCACUAUUACUCCAGGUUCAGAUCAUUGUUGUUUUUAACUGAUAUCCAAGAAUAUUUCAACCUUAAAUACCCAAAGACCAAACAAUCUUACCAUAAAUUACCUGAUGUGAAAACUAUGAAGGUUUUAGAGAAAUGUACCGCUGUAUAUAGUGUACUGUAUAUUCCUGCCCUCUGUGAACAAGUGCGUGGGCGGAGUUUGGCAACAGUUCAACCAAUCAUCUGCCGCGGUGGGCGGAGCCACAGACCGGCUUCAUGUGAUCCGAGCAAACGCCAGUAUUUGGCUUGAGUGAGUGGAGGGUGAAGAUACCAGCUGCUCCGAGAACAUCAGUGUUUCUGUGUGGAAUAUGAUCAUUCACUGGCUCUGUGUUUUAAAGGAAUGAGACUGACGUUAUGGGACUUUCUUUGACUCUGAAUGCUGAAGUUUAUCUGUCCUUCGGGAUGCUUCUUGGCAUUGGUUUGAGUACUGGUCAGUGUGGCUGUGUUGGCUUUGUCUGGUUGUUUCCACGUGAUUUGGAUUCAUCUGCCGCACGUCUUGUCAGAACAGGCCCACGUCUCACGGCUGAUGCCCACAGAACAGCUGUUUCCAAUGGCACUUUCAGAAGGGCUUUCAAAGUGACUCUUAUAAAAAAAACAGAAAAGAGAGAGAGAGACGGCAGCUGCGUGACUGAGGCGAACAGUCAGAUUCUCAUGGAGUUUUAUCGAAUCCAUCUCCCCACGGGGUCCAUCGAGGCUUUGGAGAAUAAGUUAGCGGUUUUUGGUUAAUCACAUUUCUGUUGUCGGAGUUUCUCGUUUAAUUAGUGGAAGUUCCUGCUGGGAUGUGACAGAUGUUCAAAGCUGCCACCAUUUCCUCUUUGUCAUUGUUUAUUCAUUCUGUCGAUUCUGCGUUUGGUACCCAGCUGUUCGACAGGCCGCUAUAAACCCUCACCUCCAGAUGCAAAUGCAGAAAUCUUCACAGCAUCACACCAAUUUAACAACCAUUAAGACUAGAAAUGUACUUUUCCGUUAUUUGAUUGUGAGUACUUUAACACAUAUAUCAGCCGAGUACUUGAGAUGGAGUGAGUUGAAUUUGUGCAAUUUUUUUUUUUUUUGUUAAAAACUACACAACUUAAUAGUAAAUAGACAGUUUCCUUGUACCAUAUGCUACGACAAACAUAGUCUGACCAGUCUUGCGAACUGAUUCUUUUAAAGUGCAGGUCAUAUAUUUUUUUUUUUAAAUAUCUCAUUUGCUGUUUAUAAUGUAGCUAUCCUUAAAUGACAACAGUCUGCAAAGUUGUUAAUCAAAAAAGUGCAUGAUAAAUAAAUAUAUAAAGAUAUUCUGAAUCUCCUUAACGAGUCGUCAUAUUUUCGAAUCUUUUGCCUGUUACUGGUGUACGUCACUGGGUAACACAUUUGCAUAAUCCCCACCUGCCCUGUCCCCUUCCGCUAUUAGUGUGUUUAUAUCAUGUUGGGAAGACGCUGUGUUCAAGGAUACCACAGAAAUACAAUUCAAACCUUUUAUUGUGUGCAUGUAAUUUAAUCAAGGACUGAUUCUCUAAUCUUGGCUUUUAUCUUCGUUGGCUUCUAAUCUUCUUAAUUUGGACUAACAAGCUCGUACCACAACCUGUAAGUACGAUUGAUACUUUGAGUGUUUAAAAUAUCAAUUUUUGUGCUAAUAUUUGAUGUAUACCUAGUGCAGCUUUAGGUUUCCAGGUAAAGCACAAUAUUACUGUCUUACUGAGUUCUGAUAAUUCGCUGUAAACCCACUAUUUCCUAAGAAUGUGUCGAAGAAUGUAGUGUAGCACACAGACUUUAUAAUCAUAGUGAAAUUGCUGUUUAUUGUGCUGCACUGGCAGUUAUAGGGUUAAUGCGGGAGAGACGGCUGGUGCUCCUGUCAUACAGCUGUUCCGCAUUCUGAUUAAAAGUUAAGACUGAGCGUUCUUCAAACAUUACAGUAGACAUAUUUUGGUUUACAAACUGUAUUGUUUCAUCAGUUAGUCACGUUAGCACUCGGCUAAUGCAUCCACCAAGUGUUCACAGUUUAGCAGCUAAACUUUAGCUGUGGGCAUGAUUCGCUUGCAUAAGUGUUUUUGAAUUUUAUGUCAUUAUUGGAGCACUAUAUUAUUGUUUAAUGUAAAGGUGCUUUUUUAAUGAUAGCGCUGGCUAACUGACUCAAGGACUCCUUUCUGUGCCAAUCACAACAGACUUGGCAAGCUGACCAAUC